rfam:Linderina pennispora strain ATCC 12442 DL89scaffold_7, whole genome shotgun sequence.
CCGACAAUAGCUCAGUUGGUAGAGCGGGAGACUGUAGUGGAAUUGAAAAAAUUCUUGAAAUCUCUAGGCCACCUGUUCGAAUCAGGUUUGUCGGA